rnacentral:lncRNA from 1 species
AAACUUCAAAAAAAAAAAUCCCCCCCCCCCUCUGGUUUCGCACUUUCGCACUUUAAUAUCCUAUAAUUUAAAGUGUAUCAAUUUGGUGCCCUGUGUUUUCGUUUUUAUCUUUUCGGUAGCUUUUUCGUUAAUAUUUCGUUAAAUUAUAUACAAAAAACUUCAGAUACCCACCUAGGUUUAUCGAAUAUUCACUUUAGUAUCCUUUAAAUUUUAAUUUUGUCACUGAUUUAAGAAAAUAUAAUAGUAAAAUUCAUAAUAAAAAGAGAAAAAUAAAACCAUAGGGCACUAAAUCGAUACACUUUAAAUCAUAGGAUACUAAAGUGAGAAAGUACGAAACCCCGAGGGGGUUUUUG